GAUGAACGCUGGCGGCGUGCCUAAUACAUGCAAGUCGAGCGAACAGAUGAGGAGCUUGCUCCUCUGACGUUAGCGGCGGACGGGUGAGUAACACGUGGAUAACCUACCUAUAAGACUGGGAUAACUUCGGGAAACCGGAGCUAAUACCGGAUAAUAUAUUGAACCGCAUGGUUCAAUAGUGAAAGACGGUUUUGCUGUCACUUAUAGAUGGAUCCGCGCCGCAUUAGCUAGUUGGUAAGGUAACGGCUUACCAAGGCAACGAUGCGUAGCCGACCUGAGAGGGUGAUCGGCCACACUGGAACUGAAACACGGUCCAGACUCCUACGGGAGGCAGCAGUAGGGAAUCUUCCGCAAUAGGCGAAAGCCUGACGGAGCAACGCCGCGUGAGUGAUGAAGGUCUUCGGAUCGUAAAACUCUGUUAUUAGGGAAAAACAAAUGUGUAAGUAACUAUGCACGUCUUGACGGUACCUAAUCAGAAAGCCACGGCUAACUACGUG
rnacentral:rRNA from 1 species